CUAAAGGAAAGGGAAGCAGUAAAACAAAGGUGAACGCUUUCAUUAAAGACAGUUUUGUAUAUAAAGGCUGUGAAUACCACACAAGAUCACAUUUCGCAUUCGCUUCAGCUUGCACUCUCAUCUCUUCUCUUGCAGAGCCAACGAAAACCUAGUCAAAAAUGAACAGCCGAGUUUUCUUCACCAUCGUCUUAGCCAUCGCCCUCCUGGGCAACAUUUGCUUGGCCUCUCCUGGCAUGGGUGGAGGAGGUGGAGGAAUGAUGGGAAUGGGAGGAGGAAAGGGCAACAAACAUGGAGGAGGAUCCAGAAUCACAGAGAUGUUGGCAGCAGGAAUGGUCGCCAAGAUGUUGAGCGAGAUGCAUGGUCAUAAAUGUCAUCAUCAUCACGGCCAUCAUCACGGUUAAGCAUUCUCUCUUCAAGAAACCUUCCUCAAUUGUACAUAGCCAUUUUCAGAGAUUUUAUAUAUAGAGCCAUUAUUAUUUGUUGCUAUCGAAUAAAAUAUUUUAUUUACAAUAUA